rnacentral:rRNA from 1 species
GAGCGGAUGACGGGAGCUUGCUCCUUGAUUCAGCGGCGGACGGGUGAGUAAUGCCUAGGAAUCUGCCUGGUAGUGGGGGACAACGUUUCGAAAGGAACGCUAAUACCGCAUACGUCCUACGGGAGAAAGCAGGGGACCUUUGGGCCUUGCGCUAUCAGAUGAGCCUAGGUCGGAUUAGCUAGUUGGUGGGGUAAUGGCUCACCAAGGCGACGAUCCGUAACUGGUCUGAGAGGAUGAUCAGUCACACUGGAACUGAGACACGGUCCAGACUCCUACGGGAGGCAGCAGUGGGGAAUAUUGGACAAUGGGCGAAAGCCUGAUCCAGCCAUGCCGCGUGUGUGAAGAAGGUCUUCGGAUUGUAAAGCACUUUAAGUUGGGAGGAAGGGCAGUAAGUUAAUACCUUGCUGUUUUGACGUUACCGACAGAAUAAGCACCGGCUAACUCUGUG